rnacentral:misc_RNA from 1 species
GAUGAAGAACGUAGCGAAAUGCGAUAAGUAAUGUGAAUUGCAGAAUUCAGUGAAUCAUCGAAUCUUUGAACGCACAUUGCGCCCAUUAGUAUUCUAGUGGGCAUGCCUGUUCGAGCGUCAUUAAGUCCACUUAAGCCCUGCUUAGUGUUGGGAGACUGCUCCAGCGGUGCUACCCUGUAGCUACCCUGCAGCACCUCAAAGACAGCGGCGGAGUUGUGGUAUCCUCUGAGCUUAGUAACUUGUUCUAGCUUUCGAGUACACCACUUCCCCUGCCGUAAAACCCUUAAUUUUUAAUGGUUGACCUCGGAUCAGGUAGGAAUACCCGCUGAACUUAAGCAUAUCAAUAAGCGGAGGA